rnacentral:lncRNA from 14 species
CUGCACUUUUGAAAGUUCAGGGCAUAAAACAUGUUUAGAGAGUUCAGGCUUUGGAAAAAAUCCUGGAAACACAUACAGAAAAAGUUAGUGUCAGAAGGUUUUUUUUCCAUGGGUCUGUCAAGUUGCAAAACAGAAGGAAAACCAAUGAGUACUUCAUUCAGGAUGAGAUUCAUGUAUUUCUAAGCUUACAGCUCUAGAGAAGUGCUUGGCAUGCUGGAAGACUGAGGGAUAAAACCAACAUGAACAAUAGUUCACCCGUGGCAACACAAGCCAAAAACCUGCCAGCAGUUCCACAGCCUUCUUGUGCGAUGCUGAGCCAGACACUACAACAUAGAC